UACGGAGGAUGCAAGCGUUAUCCGGAAUGAUUGGGCGUAAAGCGUCCGCAGGUGGCUGUGUAAGUCUGCUGUCAAAGAGCGAGGCUCAACUUCGUAAAGGCAGUGGAAACUACACGGCUAGAGUGCGUUCGGGGCAGAGGGAAUUCCUGGUGUAGCGGUGAAAUGAGUAGAUAUCAGGAAGAACACCGGUGGCGAAAGCGCUCUGCUAGGCCGCAACUGACACUGAGGGACGAAAGCUAGGGGAGCGAAUGGG
rnacentral:rRNA from 1 species